GUGGUUGUAGCUCAGUGGUACAGCACUCGCCUAGCACAUGCGAGGCCCUGGGUUCAAUCCUCAGCACCACA
rnacentral:tRNA from 1 species